rnacentral:rRNA from 1 species
AUUGAACGCUGGCGGCAGGCCUAACACAUGCAAGUCGAGCGGAUGAAGGGAGCUUGCUCCUGGAUUCAGCGGCGGACGGGUGAGUAAUGCCUAGGAAUCUGCCUGGUAGUGGGGGAUAACGUCCGGAAACGGGCGCUAAUACCGCAUACGUCCUGCGGGAGAAAGUGGGGGAUCUUCGGACCUCACGCUAUCAGAUGAGCCUAGGUCGGAUUAGCUAGUUGGUGGGGUAAAGGCCUACCAAGGCGACGAUCCGUAACUGGUCUGAGAGGAUGAUCAGUCACCUGGGAACUGAGACACGGUCCAGACUCCUGCGGGAGGCAGCAGUGGGGAAUAUUGGACAAUGGGCGAAAGCCUGAUCCAGCCAUGCCGCGUGUGUGAAGAAGGUCUUCGGAGUGUAAAGCACUUUAAGUUGGGAGGAAGGGCAGUAAGUUAAUACCUUGCUGUUUUGACGUUACCAACAGAAUAAGCACCGGCUAACUUCGUG